rnacentral:rRNA from 1 species
CGGAAAGCCUGACGCAGCCAUGCCGCGUGAAUGAUGAAGGUCUUAGGAUUGUAAAAUUCUUUCACCGGGGACGAUAAUGACGGUACCCGGAGAAGAAGCCCCGGCUAACUUCGUGCCAGCAGCCGCGGUAAUACGAAGGGGGCUAGCGUUGCUCGGAAUUACUGCGCGUAAAGGGCGCGUAGGCGGACAGUUAAGUUGGGGGUGAAAGCCCGGGGGCUCAACCUCGGAACUGCCUUCAAUACUGGCUGUCUUGAGUAUGAGAGAGGUGUGUGGAACUCCGAGUGUAGAGGUGAAAUACGUAGAUAUUCGGAAGAACACCAGUGGCGAAGGCGACACACUGGCUCAUUACUGACGCUGAGGCGCGAAAGCGUGGGGAGCAAACAGGAUUAGAUACCCUGGUAGUCCACGCUGUAAACGAUGAGUGCUAGUUGUCGGGCGGCAUGCCGUUCGGUGACGCAGCUAACGCAUUAAGCACUCCGCCUGGGGAGUACGGUCGCAAGAUUA